CCUACGGGUGGCAGCAGUGAGGAAUAUUGGUCAAUGGCCGGAAGUCUGAACCAGCCAAGCCGCGUGAAGGACGAAGGUGCCAAGCAUUGUAAACUUCUUUUGUCAAGGGACAAAAUCAGGCUCGAGAGCCUGACCGAGGGUACUUGAAGAAAAAGCAUCGGCUAACUCCGUGCCAGCAGCCGCGGUAAUACGGAGGAUGCGAGCGUUAUCCGGAUUUAUUGGGGUUAAAGGGUGCGUAGGCGGGCUGUUAAGUCAGCGGUAAAAGCCCGGGGCUCAACCCCGGCGAGCCGUUGAAACUGGCUGUCUUGAGAUGUCGAGAGGUAUGCGGAAUGCGCAGUGUAGCGGUGAAAUGCUUAGAUAUUGCGCAGAACUCCGAUUGCGAAGGCAGCAUACCGGCGGCGAUCUGACGCUGAGGCACGAAAGCGUGGGGAGCAAACAGGAUUAGAUACCCCUGUAGUC
rnacentral:rRNA from 1 species